ensembl:lncRNA
GUUGCUGGAGUCAGAAAUCAGGUAUUUUUCCUCUCGGUGUGUUUAUUUUAGACACUUUGGAUCCGGGAGAAGGGAGAAGGAGAGAGCCGAGAGAGCUGAUGGAGUCGGAGCAGCUUCCAGCUGCAUGGUCUCUGCACGAUGAGGAAGCGGAGGUGGGCGGGGCCUCACCGCCAUUCAUGGGUGUGUCUGAAGACCUGGGAGGUGGUCCUUUAAUCCCCGUGACACAACAUAGAAAGGAUGAUCCGUGGUCAUGUGACAGCUCUGCGUCCUCCUCUGAAGACAGCGACGAUGAUGAUUCGAGGUGGAGGAAGAAAAAAAAGAAGAAGAAACUUAGGAAAAAGAAGAGCAAGAGAUCGAGUUCGUCAUCAUCGUCUUCCUCCAGUUCCUCGUCGGACAGUGACAGCAGUGAGGAAGAGAAGAAGAAGCGGAGGAGGAGGAGGAAAAGGAAAGAGAACGCUGUGACGACAGCGAUACCUGAGUCAGGCCUCGUGCUGGAAAUUGUGUUAACGCCACUAAAACAGCAAAACGACGAGCGAGAGAUGAAGAAAGCAAAAAAAGACAGCACUAGAGAGAAGAAAAAGAAGAAAGACAAGAAGAAGCGGAGGCAAAGAAAAAGAAGAAGAAGAACAAAAAGAAUAAAAAGAAAAAGAAGGAUUCCAGCUCGUCUUCCUCCUCCGACAGCUCGUCAUCCGAUAGUGAAGAUCAGGACAAGAAGAAGAAGAAGAAGAAGAAGAAGAAGAAAAAGAAGAAGAAGAAGAGAAUGAAGAAGGACUCAUCGUCUGACAGCUCCAGUGACGAUGAAAAGAAGAAGAAGAAGAAGAAGAAGAAAGACAAGAAAAGAAAGAAGAAAAGAAAGGAGAUGAAGAAAAAGAAAAAAUACUCGAGCUCCAGCUGCAGUUCUUCCUCGAGCGAGAGCGAUGACGAGAAACUGAGCCGGAAAUUAAAGAAAGAGGAACCGUGGGGCGAUGACGCUGCGAGAGACGAGGGGUUAUUACGGGGCGAGCUGGAGGGAAGGGCUGAAGCGGCGGCUGAUGAUUGGACAGCAGCUUCACCAGCAUUCCCUGCGGCCUGUGAGGCUGAGAGGACCGGUGGGAUAUGUGAUGAUGGUGAAAGAGGAGAAGAAGAAAAGAAAGGGAAGCUGAAGAAAAAGAAAAAGGAUUCUGCUUCAUCUUCAGAAUCGUCGUCCUCCUGUUCAGACAGUUCCUCCUCAGACAGCGAGGAUGACAAGAAAAAGAAGAAGAAGAAAAAGAAGAAGAAGAAGAAGAAGAAGAAGAAGAAGGACUCGAGCUCUUCAUCUUGCUCCUCAUCCUCUUCGGAUAGUGAGGAUGACAAGAAGAAAAAGAAGAAGAAGAAGAAAAAGAAGAAGAAGAAGAAGAAGAAGAAGGACUCGAGCUCUUCAUCUUGUUCCUCAUCCUCUUCAGAUAGUGAGGAUGACAAGAAGAAGAAGAAAAGAAGAAGAAGAAGAAGAAGAAGGGGAAAAAGAAGGCCAGCGGCUCUUCAUCUUCAUCGGACAGCGAGAGGAACGGAAGAGGAUGAAGAAGAAAAAAAGGGGAAAGAAGAAAAAGCGCAAAUCCAAGAAGAUGAAGAAGAAGGGUUCCAGUUCUCCUUCUCCUCACGAUGUUGAUGAAAAUAAAGAAAAGCAGGAAGACUUAAAGAAGGUGGAAGUGAAGGGAGAAGAUCGGGAUGGACGGAGCGACGCAACGGGAGGAGUAGAGGACGGAGAAAGAUACGAUAUGUUCCCAGACGAUCCUACACGUGGCGUCUUUACUGAGGGGGCGGAGUCUCAGGGGGAGGGCUCCAGGGGCACCUGGAGGGGCGGAGCUUUAGGCUACAAGUCUCACCUGGACACCGAGAGGAACAGCGACGAGUCACAAUAUCAGAUGUUGAACGAGAAUGAAUUGUGAUUUCUUUUUUUAAAAAAACAUUUUGCUUUUUAUAAUUCAGAGUAAAAAAUCAUUCAUAUGUUCAGUUUAUCUCACACUCUAAAGAUUCGAGUUUAGAUUUGAUUCAGGCGAUUCACUUGUUUAACUUGUUUCGUUUUCCGGUACACAAUCACAGGUUUUGCAUUAGGAACGGGUUUCUUUAUGUCAGAGAUUUCAGAUGUGUUUUUUUUUUCUUUUUUUUUUGCUUCAUGGAGCAUGAAAUUCUGACUUUUUUUUUUGCUUAAGUUGACGUUUUAGACGCUAGUUCAGAUUUCAGAUUUGAUCGAAUGCGCACAAAGGGAUAAAAUGACGAAUAAGGACAAAUUAGAUCUGAAAGUUUUGUUGACAGUUUGCUUUUAGCGAAUAAAAUCGGAAAUGUUUGGUAGUCGUAAGGAAGCUAUAUUUAUCGCGGAAAUCAUUUCAUCCCGUUUCUUUGAUCAGUCUGGAUAUUUCUGCAGAAAAUGUUUUCAUUUCGAAUCCCAUUUUAAUAACUUUUCAGAUAAUAAAACGGCAAGAGUGAUGAAAUGAAAACCUGAAAACCGCGACAUUACAACCCAGUCUAAAAUUUUAUCUAGAAGAAUCUAGAAACUCUUGCAUUGACAGAAAUAGAGAUUAUGAAAAACGAUACACUUUGGGGACACUCAUUCGCAAUAAACAACCACAACAACAAAAUAAGCUUUUCAUUUGAUUCACCUUUGUAUUAAUCAGCUGGCAUAAAGUGAGAUUUGUUUUUCUUUUUUUUUUGCUUUUUUUUUUGCUUUUCAGUAAAAAAAUGAUUUCAGGCUGUUUAGGAUUUAAUGGCACAGAAAUGCAUGGACAUUAAGUCUUAAUUGACUUAUUCCAAAUAAAAAUAAAAAACAAUAUGAGCUUUAUAGUGUGAUGAUGUUAUUGUGUGAUGCACUUAAGUUAUUACAAUUUGCCAAACUAUUUGUUUACUAUUACAUAUUACUACACCUUUUUAAAAAAAAAUUAAUUAAAUAAUGACGUCAUGGUGCUUAUGCAUUAAUAGUUACAUUUAAAGUUCUGUGAAAUGAGUUACUUCCUGUUCUCACUUACAUUACAGCAGCGGUAAGCUGUCGUUCCCUCACCAGUCUCUCUUUAUUCUCUCUCUUCAAGUUGAUUAGACAAAACAAACCCACAAAGUGUAAACUCCCGCUCUGACUGACAUAAAAUCGCAGCUUUAAGGUACGUUCACAUGCGCAAGUCGC